rnacentral:rRNA from 1 species
GACGAACGCUGGCGGCGUGCUUAACACAUGCAAGUCGAACGGAAAGGCCCUGCUUUUGUGGGGUGCUCGAGUGGCGAACGGGUGAGUAACACGUGAGUAACCUGUCCUUGACUUUGGGAUAACUUCAGGAAACUGGGGCUAAUACCGGAUAGGAGCUCCUGCUGCAUGGUGGGGGUUGGAAAGUUUCGGCGGUUGGGGAUGGACUCGCGGCUUAUCAGCUUGUUGGUGGGGUAGUGGAUUACCAAGGCUUUGACGGGUAGCCGGCCUGAGAGGGUGACCGGCCACACUGGGACUGAGAUGCGACCCAGACUCCUACGGGAGGCAACAGUGGGGAGUAUUGCACAAUGGGCGGGAGCCUGAUGCAGCAACGCCGCGUGCGGGAUGACGGCCUUCGGGUUGUAAACCGCUUUCGCCUGUGACGAAGCGUGAGUGACGGUAAUGGGUAAAGAAGCACCGGCUAACUACGUG